rnacentral:lncRNA from 1 species
UAAUUAUGAAAAAGAGUGUUAAGAAAUAUUUAGAGGGGUACCAAUAGUCCCACUCUAUUUAUUGACCAAUUUAAUAAUUAUUAUCUUUUCAAGGAUUUAAAAAUCUAUAGGUGUAACGGACAGCUAAUGUAAUGUAAGCGUUAUAUAUAUGAGUUGAUGAAAGGGUCACGGGUGAAAUCAAAAUAAAAAAAAUAACAGAAGUCAAUAAUGGCAUUCAAAAUUAAAAAAUAAUAGAAGUCAAUAAUGAAGAAUUUGGGUUAAAUCAUAUAUAUAUGUUAAAUCAAACAGCCACUGGUGUGCGGUUACUUUAUACAAUUUGGGUUCUUGCCUUUCUGCCGUCAUGGGGAAUUAAUGCCACUGGUCAACGGUGAAUCAAUGGCCAUCGGGCACCAAAUUCAUGACCAAUCAAUGGCCAACAAGCACCAAAUUAAUGCCAAGCACACCAACAACCACCGAUUAAAUGGCAAGUUUAGUGUUUUAAAGUUUAGAAUAUGGAGACGCACUUGCUACUGUAUCGAGGUAUUAAAUCAUCAAAAACCAAUUUGGUUUGGAGUCUUCAAUUCCAAUUUGACUCCUACACCAACGCUAGCCAACAACAACUCAACAACCGAAUCACUCGUCCUAAUAGCAUAAUAAUCCAGUCGUCGCUUGCCUGCACGUGAGAGACCAUUUUCUUGUUCGUGCUCGGAAUUGUUGAAUUAAUUUUACAAUGCUCUUGUACCAAUUUUCAUCAUAUAUGCUGCCUCAAGAAGUGAAGAUCGAUGUCGGAAUCACUUUUAGUUUCAAUUACAUGAUGUUUGGGAUCGUCUUAUAAUAUACCAAUUUCAGUCUACAGUUGCCUCAAGUAUCCAUGUCUGUCAAAUCUCAUUUGUAUUAAAGCAACCGCCUAAACCGUUAACCUGUUUGAUUUAAUAUAUAUAUAUAUAUUUGCAGCUGUUAGAUUGAACAAUAAACCAUCCAACGGCUCUGCUAAAUAGAGACAAAAAAGUGCAGUAUGGUGCAACUGUUGUAACAUAGGUGGAGCCUAUUUUUAAUAUUAUAUUAAUGAUUAUUAAAUUUUAUACAAUCAAUAAUGCAAUAAGUUAUUAAAUGAUUAAUUUAUACGUUAUUAAAUGAUUAAUUAUAAAUGAUUAAAUAUACAAGUAAUGAAAAUUUAAUCUCAAGAGUUAUUAGAAGUAAAACUGCCAAUUUAAUUAGAUCAUAGAUAAGAAAUAAAAAAUCUUAAGUAAAUCAUAAAUAAAAAUUAAUUAAUUAAUUAAUAUUAACAGAUAAUUUUUCUUUAAUCUUAUCCUAACUAAACGCAUGUGUAAAUUACAAUUACUAAUCCGAUGAUUUGAAAAUUAAAUUCAAAUUUAGUCUCCUUUAAUCCAAUUCAAGUAAAUUUAUCAAAAAUAAAAUAAAUAUUUAAUCUUAAUAUUAAUCCAAUUGGAUAUUUAAUCCUGACAUCCAAACAAGGCCUUAUUUGCCUUAAAAGGCAAUUUACAAAGAGGUGUAACCGAAAACGUUUAUAAAGCCAUAUUUUUUUUGGGUUCCUAUAUAUAUAUAUAAUCUUUCUGCCAAUGAAGCGCCCGCCAUACAUAUAAAUCUUAAGUAAAUCAUAAAUAAAAAUUAAUUGAUUAAUUAAUAUUAACAGAUAAUUUUUCUUUAAUUUUAUCCAUCUAAACAAAUAUGUAAAUUAGGAUUACUAAUCCGAUGAUUUUAGGAUUAAAUUCAAAUUUAGUCUCCUUUAACUCCAUUCACAUAAAUUUAUUAAAUAUAAAAUAAAUAUUUAAUUUUAGAAUUAGUGCAAUUCGAUACGUAAUCCUACAUCCAAGCAUGGUCUCAGUUGUCAUAAAGGCAACUUAGAAAGAGUUGUAACCGAAAACAUAUAUAAAGCCUUUUUUUUCUUUUAAUUUUCAGGUUCAUAUAUAUAGAUAUAAUCUCUCUGCCAAUGAAGCGCCUGCCAAUCAGAGAAGUUAAUUUUUUAAUAUAUUUUUCGACGCCGGCCCCGCCCCUGAUCUUAUAGCUUUGACUCCAGAUGAGUGAGGCUUUUCAUUCAUGUUAUUCUUUGAAAGAUCGUGAUUCUAGAGGCUGCUGACAAAAGAAGAUUCCGGAGGCUGCUGAUAAGAUAAAUACAAUAUUUAUUCGAAUGGGGCUAUUGACACCACUCUAAAUACUUCUUAAAAUUCUUUUAAUUAUUUAGAAUUACAUAAUAGGAUAAUUUAUACAUAAUAGAAUAAUUUGUAAUUAAACCCCCACUCAAAAGUCAAAUAAUUUUUUCAUUUUAAAAAUUAAAAAUGUUGUUUUUUUUCUAUUUUUUGGGUGAAGAAUUCACUACCAAAGGCUACAAUUGAGAGAAUGAAACCUCAUUAUUUCUUUCUUUUAAAUAGAAGAAACUCAAUUGCUGAAAUGAGAUUUAAUAAUAAAAAUAGAGAAUUGAAUUUACACAAUAAAUUUUACGUAAGGGUAUUUUUAUUAUUGAUGGAGGUGUUAAAAGAAUUUUAUAAUUUUUUAAAAUAUUUUAAUGGGAUUAAUUACGAAAAGGGGUGUUAAGAGAUAUUUAUUGACCAUUUUAAUAAUUAUUAUCUUUUCAAGGAUUUAAAAAUCUAUAGGUGUAACGGACAGCUAAUGUAAUGUAAGCGUUAUCUAAUAUAUGAGUUGAUGAACCAUCACUGGUGAAAUCAAAAUAAAUAAAUAAAAUAACAGAAGUCAAUAAUGGCAUUCAAAAUAAAAAAAUAAUAGAAGUCAAUAAUGGCAUUCAAAAUAAAAAAAUUAAAACAAAAAGCAAAUAAAGCCAUUGGAUUCUUUUUUUUUAAUUGUUUCUGAAUAUUAAUACGUUAAAAUAAAAGAACUUGUUAAUAUUUAUCAUAAAAAUAUUGUUGAUACAAUCCUACGUCAAUUUUGUUAUAUUAUAGUACAAUUCGAAAGUUUUAUUUUAUUUUAAAAUAUAUUUAUCCUACCAUAUUUAUAAAAGAAAUUAUAAAAUAAUUAAAUUAAGAUAAAAUCUUACCUCCAAUCAUAGUUGUUCAAGAUUCAAGCGUUCUCUAGAGUCACUAAAUUUUAUAAAAAAAGUACUUCUUCCUUAUUCUACUUUAUAACCUUUCUCUUGUGAUGGAAAAUAAGUUCUUAGGAAGUAUAGAUUUGGAUAGAUUAGAGAUCCUUUUUAUAAUAGACUAGAGAACCUUUUUAUAAUAAUAUUUUAUAACUUACAAGACUUUCCACUUCCUUCCAUCAAAGAAGUGAAAUUUAUAACCUUUAUCACUUCUAUUAUGAAAAUGAUUAGUAAACUAUAAGGCUAUCCCUCGAAAUAAGUAAGUAGAUUAUUAAUAUGAGUUUAUCUAUUUAUUUAUUUAAAAAAAUCACUUAUCAUGUGAACUAUAUAAUAAAAAUUUGUGGAGAUAUAUCUACGCACAUUUAAUUAUAUAAUUGAGAUAAGAAAUUAGAGGUCCAAGAAGUUGUACUUAGAUUUGCAACCUCAAAGUUGAGGUUAUGGCAGGCAAAAGAAAAAGGAGAAGCAUGUGUUUUUGAGAAAGGAACCCAUAUAAGCAAUUGCAAAUUAAGCAAAAUCGGAAUUAAACAAAUUAAGCAUGUGUUUUUUUACUCUUUAUGUGAUAAAAUCGGAAUGUGUACCAUAAAUAAAUAAGCAGAAAAUAAACCAAUACAAUCUAAAAUAAUAAAUCAACCAUAAGAGACAUAUUUUUAGAUGGAAAACCUAAAUUGAGAAAAAAACCAUAGAACUAUAGUCUAUUAUAACCUUCAAUUAUAUUAAUAAUGGGAUUACAACACAGAUUCUUCUCUAGAUAACAUUAGAGGCUAGCAACAUCAAGAAUCUCAACAAUCUUGGCUUAUAGUAAUAAUUUAAUAUUUAUCUCUCUAACAAAUGAGUAAUCUCAAAUAACAGGCAAUGAGAGAAUUAAAUAAAAAUCAAGACCAGUAAAAAUGUAGAGGGCGAUGUCAGAAACUUACCCUCCAAAUUUGGGAGAAAACAUAGUUAAGUUUACCUUCUUAUCAUCCAAUCAAAGAUCAAGAUCCUUACCUCCAAAUUGGAAUAAUCGGCCAUUGUAUAUUUUGAAAGCCAAAUUUAAUGGUAAUUUUCAAUUAGUCAUAACCUGUUUUCUUUAAUUAUUUAAACACCCAAAAUAAUGGAAACUUUGAGUUGGGCCACCCAAAUGAAAUGGACCUAACAAAUCUUCCCCACCAGGUUAUGUGGAGGGCACCACCAAGCCCGUUCUCGGCUUACAUUCUUUCAACUUUUCCUUGGGCAACGACUUUGUCAUCAUAUCUGACCUAUUCCUCAUGAAUCUUCUCAAGUUGUAAUUAUUUCUUUUCAAGUAUGUCUUGUAUGCAAUGAUACCUAACAUUAAUAUGCUUGGAUUUUGAAUGCUAUGUUGAAUUCAUUUCCAAGUGAAAGGACUUUGACUAUCAUAGUACACAACAUAGCUAUCUUGUUUCACAUCUAGCUUUUGUAAAAAAUUCUUCACCACAAGGUUUCAAAGAAAACUUCAGUGAUUGCAAUAUUGAUGAAUAAAUAAAGAAAAGCAAACAAAUACUUCGCUUUCGGUGAAACUUUCAAAUAUCAGUCUUUAUGACUUUAAGCUACAUUUACCAUGUGGAAUUGAAUUGGACUAAUUAUUAGAAUAAGACUGGAUUAGAUUAUAUUGGAUUAAGCUAGUGUAUAUUAUAUUGUCUUAUGUUUGGUGUAGUACCAAAUUAAACUAUGUUAAAUUAUAUUUAAAUGAUAUUAAAUAGCAUUUAAGUUUAUAUUUGAAUAUGAACAUCAAUUAUUCAUGAAAUUUUAUAACAAUAAGUAAAUAAAUUUAAAAAGCAAUUAAUUAGAAAAUUAAGUAUAUUGUAAAUAAGUUAUUAGGUAGUCAUAAUAUAAUAAACAAAUAAAAAAGAAAUUAAAAAAUUCAAAUAUUUAAUUAAUUUUUAUCAAAUAAUUAAAAAAUUUUAUAAAAUCAAUUUAUUAUUAUUUUUUUAAUUUUUAUGAUUAUUUUUAAGGAUCCACCUAUGUUACAACAAUUACACCAUACCAUACCUUUUUAUCUCUAUUUAGUAGAGUCGUUGGAUGCUUUAUUGUUCAAUGUAACCGCUGCAUAUAUAUAUAUUAAAUCAAACAGGUGUGCGGUUACUUUAUACGUACAACUUGGGUUCUUGCCUUGCUGUCGUCAUGGAGAAUUAAUGCCACUGGUCAACGGUGAAUCAAUGGCCAUCGGAUACCAAAUUCAUGACCAAACAAUGGCCAACAAGCACCAAAUUAAUGCCAAGCACACCAACAACCACUGAUUAAAUGGCAAGUUUAGUGUUUUAAAGUUUAGAAUAUGGAGAAGCACUUGCUACUGUAUCCAGGUAUUAAAUGAUCAAAAAUCAAUUUGGUUUGGACUCUUCAAUUCCAAUUUGACUCCUACGCCAUCACCACCCAACAACAACUCAACAACCGAAUCACUCGUCCUAAUAGCAUAGCAAUCCAGUCGUCGGUUGCCCGCACGUGAGAGACUAUUUUCUUAUUCGUGCUCGGAAUUGUUGAAUUAAUUUUACAAUUCUCUUGUACCAAUUUUCAUCAUAUAUGCUGCCUCAAGAAGUGAAGAUCGAUGUCGGAAUCACUUUAAUUUAGUUUCAAUUACAUGAUGUUUGGGAUCUUCUUAUACCAAUUUCGGUCUACAAUUGCCUCAAGUAUCCUUGUCCGUCAAAUCUUAUUUGUAUUAAAGCAACCGCCUAAACCGUUAACCUGUUUGAAUUUAAAAAACAAAUAUUUGGAGCUGUUAGUUUGAACUCAUGUGUAAAUUAUGAUUACUAAUUCG